UAGGGGUGUCUUGGGGUGGCCGUCGUCGAGCGGCCUGAGAUUACACCCGUAGAACCUGAUCUGGGUAAUGCCAGCGAAGGGAGGCACGUAAACUCACAC
rnacentral:ncRNA from 2 species